AGCGAACGCUGGCGGCAGGCCUAACACAUGCAAGUCGAACGAACCCUUCGGGGUUAGUGGCGGACGGGUGAGUAACACGUGGGAACGUGCCUUUAGGUUCGGAAUAACUCGGGGAAACUUGUGCUAAUACCGAAUGUGCCCUUCGGGGGAAAGAUUUAUCGCCUUUAGAGCGGCCCGCGUCUGAUUAGCUAGUUGGUGAGGUAAUGGCUCACCAAGGCUACGAUCAGUAGCUGGUCUGAGAGGAUGACCAGCCACAUUGGGACUGAGACACGGCCCAAACUCCUACGGGAGGCAGCAGUGGGGAAUCUUGCGCAAUGGGCGAAAGCCUGACGCAGCCAUGCCGCGUGGAUGAUGAAGGUCUUAGGAUUGUAAAAUCCUUUCACCGGUGAAGAUAAUGAUUGUAGCCGGAGAAGAAGCCCCGGCUAACUUCGUGCCAGCCGCCGCAGUAAAAC
rnacentral:rRNA from 1 species